CAAUAGCGUAUAUUAAAGUUGUUGCGGUUAAAAAGCUCGUAGUUGGAUUUCUGCCGAGGACGACCGGUCCGCCCUCUGGGUGAGCAUCUGGCUCGGCCUGGGCAUCUUCUUGGAGAACGUAUCUGCACUUGACUGUGUGGUGCGGUAUCCAGGACUUUUACUUUGAGGAAAUUAGAGUGUUUCAGGCAGGCUUGGCCGGAAUACAUUAGCAUGGAAUAAUGGAAUAGGACUAUGGUCUCUUUGUUGGUUUGAGGGACUGCAGUAAUGAUUAAUAGGGAUAGUUGGGGGUGGCUAGUAUUGAGAGGCCAGAGGUGAAAUUCUUGGAUUCUCUCAAGACUAACUUAUGCGAAAGCAUUCACCAAGGAUGUCUUCUUUAAUCAAGAACGAAAGUUGGGGGAUCGAAGACGAUUAGAUACCAU
rnacentral:rRNA from 1 species